UCCUUCGGAUGCAUAUCUGUGUGAAGUUUACAGGGGAAAGCAAGUGGACGUUAAAUCUGGUUCGUGCCGGCUUGAAGAACAAUCACUUUUAUUCAAAGUUCUUACAUGGUGGAGGUUAGCUUUUCUGCUGUACCAGUGCACUUCGAUGGUGUUCCCUCCUUUGUCUGAAGCGUAACCCACAUGUAGAGGCUGCAUUUUACAACUAUGAUAUUCAGAUAUACUCAAAUAAGAAACCGGUUAUCUUGAUUGAAUUUUAUAAUAAUACCUGAUGGAUAUCACCCAUGAAAUGGGACACGAAGAGCAGGGCCUCGGUUAAGUUGUCUGACGACAAGAAAAAAUAGAAACGGAACAUGAGAGGGAGAUAAAAGAUGAGGAAAUUGGUGAAAAGCAAAAAGGUGGCAACGUUUUGGUACUACACUGUGACUGAGAUGAAGCUGCAGUGUUGUAGGAAAGAAGCUGUGAGGUGUAAUUGUAAAUGGCUCCUGCAACACAUCUUCCUUUCUCUCCAGCUUCGUCCUUGCAGUCCCCUUUGGACUCGAAACAAAGAAAAUGUGGAGUGUUGAUAUAAUGAAGAGGAGAAGACCAGUGGUAUCUAAACUUGACACGAUCAGCCCAAAGACACAAGCUAGACAAGUCUCCUUCUGCGGAUUCAGAUUCAAAACUAAAAGACGAAAGAAGAUGAAAAAUCAAAACCUGCGCGAUUUUACAGAUGAUUUCAUGACCUUCUUUCCCCCAGCCAUGGAU